GACGUAGGGCGCGAGCGUUGUCCGGAUUUAUUGGGCGUAAAGAGCUCGUAGGCGGCUUGUCGCGUCGACUGUGAAAACCCGCGGCUCAACUGCGGGCCUGCAGCCGAUACGGGCAGGCUAGAGUUCGGUAGGGGGAGACUGGAAUUCCUGGUGUAGCGGCGAAAUGCGCAGAUAUCAGGAGGAACACCGGUGGCGAAGGCGGGUCUCUGGGCCGAU
rnacentral:rRNA from 1 species